UGCGCGCGCAUGUACAAAAUUGUGACAAAAAUGGUGGAUAAUUUUUUGUGCACACUUUCAGCUCGCAAUGUUGAAUUUGAGAUGGAAAUGAAGCUUUAGUAUCUGUGAAUUUUCGGAACCUAACCUGGAACUUCAAAAGAAUGAAAGAAGUGAGAACUUUGGGUCAGCGGUAGAGCUACUGGCCGGAAGCUUGAGGCAUCAUUUUAGCAGCAGACCCAGGUCACUUCCCCAGCCUGUACAUGCUGGGUCUGUGUGGUCUGGGAGCUCUGGUGGUCAGAGGACUGAGAAGACUGAGAGGAGCUGGCUGCACCAUCAAUGAUAUGUGGGACAGGGACUUCAACUCAUAGCAGUACGAUUUUGUGACCCAGCACCACCCUGGCAGCUGAAACCAGCAUGAUGUUGUCCUCAAGAAAACCAUGGAUGUCAGCACAGCACGCGACACGUACCCGGUGAACUCCAAGCUACAGACAUGACAGAAAUCUAGACUGGAUCUGAUGAGCUACCAAUAGUUCCUGUCACAGGAUAUCAGAGAACCCUCAGCAUUCACUGCGAUUGUUUCCUGUAAUUCAACCAGUCUGAGGCGAACUGGAUUUCUCUCUUGCCCGGAUGUUGUGGGAUGCCACUCAGCGACACUGACAUCACUUCUAAGAUGCUCUCCUGAAUAUGUUGGAUCUGCAUUGACUGUGUGAGAUUCAUGAGCUACACAACCACCACUGAGAAGGACUUGCAACAGAACAAGUGGACUUCCUUCAAAACAAUUACCCAGAGAUCUUCACUUUCAAGCUCAGUGUGCCACAAGAUGUUUUAACUUAUAGCUAGUCGUCAAAAACUGCCUAGAGAGUUGUGUUUGCUCAAUUUGAACAAUUACGUGACUCGAAGGAUAAUCUGUACUUGAGCCAUGCGCCUGCACGAGUCUCACCAGACAUUUGGAGAACUGCAAUAACACAUGCACUAGACAGCAUGAGGUUACCGUCGGACCCGUCUCAAGAUCGUAUCUCGGCCAGGAACUGACUGCUAGAGGAGUUCAUGAUAAGCUGGCCUCUGCCAGCCGCAAAAACACUGGAUGAUUCACAUUGACUGUUGCUGUCUGCCAGAGAGUUAUGACUGAGGAACUCUUUCGAAAUGGAACUCUUUUGAAAUUUACUUCUGUUGAAAUGGAACCCUCUCGAAACUGAACUCUUUGAAAUGGAACUUUGUUGAAACGGAUCUCGUUGGAAACAGAACUCUUUUGAACCAGAACUCUUUUGAGAUGGAACUCUUUUUAAAUUAAACUCUUUGAAAUGGAACUCUGUUGAAACGGAACUCUUUUGAAACAGAUCUUGUUGGAAACAGAACUCUUUGGAACCUGAACUAUUUUAAGAUGGAACUCUGUUGAAACAGAACCCUUUUGAACCGGAACUCUUUUGAACCGGAACUCUUAUGAACUGGAACUCUUUUGAGAUGGACCUCUUUUUGUAAUUGAACUCUUUGAAAUGGAACCUUCUUGAAAUGGAACUCUUUGAAAGGAUAAUGUAUAUUAAAGAAGUAGAGGUCUCUCUUUCCUUGUCACUAAAGGUCAUCAGAGGUCACCUCUUUGACCCCAUAUGUGUAGAAAAGGUUGCCUUGGCCGACCACAAUUUGACAGACAUCUAGAAUCUUGAAAGGCAGUUGCCAUAAUCUUCACUCACAGUGUUUGAUGAUGGAAAAGUGAUGUAGUCAUCACCUAGUGAUAAAGUUUGGGACGAGAACUGCAAAGUUUUCUAUAUCAAGAAAAUUGUCCAGAAACCUUCAAAACAUGCUAUCUUACUAUGUUGACCCACAAUUGAUGGCAGUAGUAGUUGAGAUCAAACCAAACCAUAAAUCGUGAAUAUGGAAGAGAGGCCUCUACACACCUCACCACAGUGACCACACGUAACCAGCUUCUCUCUGCAAACUCAAAGCAUAUUUCAUAGAAUUGAUUUGUCUUUGAUUUUUAUUCAGUGCAUCCACUAAUUUUCUUGUAUCAAAGUAUCACAAAAAAACUUUCAACAAGCAGUGAAAAUGAGGAAAGAUGUAGCGCUGCAUUUUAUAGUUCUUAUUUCCCGCUCUGCCAGUUGCAAAAUAAACUGAAAUUUAGCCAAAUUCACUAAAUAUUCACUAAAGCUGAGGGCUGCGCAAGUAUUGAAGAAAAAAAUUCUCUCAGAAAAAUCUUGAUGAUACAACUUCCUUUGGCAUAUAUAUAGAGAGAGCUGGUUACAUCAAAUUAAUUGAUAAUUGAAUCUGAAAUAUUUUUUUUAUGGCAUUGCCUGAUUGGUAAUAGUUGGGUGCAAGAUUGGUUUUCCUAGAACAAAAUUCUUUAAACUUUGUGUCGACACACAACGCUAAUGCAGUUAUUUGAACGUCAUUGCCAAUUUUAAUCAUUGCUUGGUUCAGUUUAAAUUCAAAAUAAUUGGAGAUGUCCAAAAAUCCAAAUUUCUUACUCAAGCACUCAUGCAGGAAAACCCAGAUAUUCGUGUAAAUGCGCAGUUUUGCAAACAGCUUUCAUAAUGAGCCAUUCAACUUUUUGUUUAUACUUUCAAAAUUUCUUUCAACUCUUCAGAAAUGGCUUUUCAAAAAUUUUAGAUGCACUUUCCAGUUCAUCAUAACUUAGCUGCGUACUAUCAACAGCCAUACCAAUCUUGUACCCAGCUUUUGUUUUAUCAAGUAUAGUCAGCACUGGUCCACUGUUUAACAGACAAAAUUUGUCUGUGAAUGAAAAAAGUGAUUGCAUGUUGGUUUUAGUUCCACUUGUUCGAAAAAAAAUUGCCAAACCCAAAAUAUUCCAUUUCAAGUGAAAACACUGCUAAAAAUGCCUGCAAAAUUUGUUCUUAUUCGACAGUUUACCAGGUGUUUUUGUGGACACACCUUUGUUUAAUUACCUCCAGAAAUGUAGGCUUUCUUGUCCAUUGGUCAAGCGAUGUUUUUCUAAAAUCCCAUUUGAAAAAGAAAAGUAAACAGUAUUAAACUGUUGAUUACUUACAAACACCAAUUACCAAUAUUUUUUAGCGCAAAAAGGAACAAAAGAAUUGAUGUUCCGGUGCUGGCUGUACAUGUUCAUUGGAAAAAAAUGAUGAUUAAUUUGUUGAGUAACCCAUAUACAUAUACUUGACAUUUAACCAACAGGCAAUGUUCUGAUAUACCCGAGCCCAACGCAUGCAAGUCCCCCCGGGGCGUGCACGUGUGGUGUUCCCCGCCCGCAGAUGCCGGCUUGUCUGGUGAGUCGC